AGUGAACGCUGGCGGUAGGCCUAACACAUGCAAGUCGAACGGCAGCACAGUAAGAGCUUGCUCUUACGGGUGGCGAGUGGCGGACGGGUGAGGAAUACAUCGGAAUCUACUUUUUCGUGGGGGAUAACGUAGGGAAACUUACGCUAAUACCGCAUACGACCUACGGGUGAAAGCAGGGGAUCUUCGGACCUUGCGCGAUUGAAUGAGCCGAUGUCGGAUUAGCUAGUUGGCGGGGUAAAGGCCCACCAAGGCGACGAUCCGUAGCUGGUCUGAGAGGAUGAUCAGCCACACUGGAACUGAGACACGGUCCAGACUCCUACGGGAGGCAGCAGUGGGGAAUAUUGGACAAUGGGCGCAAGCCUGAUCCAGCCAUACCGCGUGGGUAAAGAAGGCCUUCGGGUUGUAAAGCCCUUUUGUUGGGAAAGACAAGCAGCAGGUUAAUACCCCGCUGUUCUGACGGUACCCAAAGAAUAAGCACCGGCUAACUUCGUG
rnacentral:rRNA from 1 species